rnacentral:rRNA from 1 species
UACGUAGGGUGCGAGCGUUAAUCGGAAUUAUUGGGCGUAAAGAGCUCGUAGGCGGUUUGUCACGUCUGCUGUGAAAUCCCGAGGCUCAACCUCGGGCCUGCAGUGGGUACGGGCAGACUGGAGUGCGGUAGGGGAGAAUGGAAUUCCUGGUGUAGCGGUGGAAUGCGCAGAUAUCAGGAGGAACACCGAUGGCGAAGGCAGUUCUCUGGGCCGUAACUGACGCUGAGGAGCGAAAGCGUGGGGAGCGAACAGG